rnacentral:SRP_RNA from 1 species
GUCAGGCAUGGUGGCGGGUGCCUGUAAUCCCAGCUACUUGGAGGCUGAGGCAAGAGAAUUGCUUGAACCCGGGAGGUGGAGAUUGCAGUGAGCUGAGAUCGUGCCACUGCACUCCAUCCCGGGCAACAGAGCAAGACUCUGUCUCAA